rnacentral:rRNA from 1 species
GAGUUAGCCGGGGUUUCUUUCCAGGUACUGUCAUUAUCAUCCCUGGCGAAAGAGCUUUACGACCCUAAGGCCUUCAUCACUCACGCGGCAUGGCUAGAUCAGGCUUUCCGCCCAUUGUCUAAGACUUCCCCAC